rnacentral:rRNA from 1 species
AUACGUAGGUCCCGAACGUUGCGCGAAAUUACUGGGCGUAAAGGGUCCGUAGGCGGUCUGGUAAGUGGAAGGUGAAAGCCUGGGGCUCAACUCCAGAAUUGCCUUCCAAACUGCCGGACUUGAGGCAGGGAGAGGUCGGCGGAAUUCCCGGUGUAGUGGUGAAAUGCGUAGAUAUCGGGAGGAACACCAGUGGCGAAGGCGGCCGACUGGAACUGCCCUGACGCUGAGGGACGAAAGCCAGGGGAGCGAACCGGAUUAGAAACCCCAGUAGUCC